AUGGCGAUCAACAAAGUAGCUCUCGUCUCAGCCGUGCUGUUGCUGGUGAUCUCUUCCGCUGCUGCUGCUGCAGGGAGAGAUGUUCCUCCAGUCCUCCCCAAGGACAACGUUCUGCGCGACCACGGUAUCAUGAAUACCCCAGAGGAGAACGGCGGUCGCUCCGAAUCCAAGAUAUACGCCAUCACGCAGCCAAUAUUCCAUCCUCCCUACGUCCCACCUUGUGCUUCCAAGGCCGUUCGUGCGAGCGGGGUCACCAAGGACGAGAAGCGUUGUUAG
rnacentral:rRNA from 1 species